GGAAUGAAUCCGAAGCCUCUCGAUGGAUAAUCAAGGAUCUCCAUAUCCUGUUCAAUAAAUCCUCGGCGUACAGAUUGUUAACAUGUCUCUCUAAAUGUCU
rnacentral:ribozyme from 1 species